UGAUGAUGUCACUGAUUCUACUGCUGGCCACCCUGGGGCACCUUGUUCAGGAUUCAUCAGGAGAAAUCAUCAUGACUCAGUCUUCUGGAUCUUAGUCUGUUGUUCCAGGACAGACUGUCUCUCUCAGAUGUAAAGCCAGUUCAGGUGUUACUAAUGACUUGCAGUGGUACCUUCAGAAACCUGGAGAAGCUCCUAAACUCCUGAUUUAUGAUGCUCAAACCCGUCAGUCUGGAGUUUCAGAUCGUUUCAGUGGGAGUCAGUCUGGAACUGACUUCACUUUGACCAUCAGAGGAGUCCAGACUGAAGAUGCAGGAGUUUAUUACUGUCAGCAGGAUUACAGCCGUCCGUUCACACAGUGAUACAACGUCGUACAAAAACCUCCUUUAGCUGGAGAGGAACUGAUCUGAAUCAACAGCUGUGGAGUUAUAGAAACACUUUAGUAAUUUACUGACAAUGAAGUCAAACACAUUAAAACUAGUUUUGAUCUGA